UUGCCAGACAAAUAUGUACAGCUUUUAACUACCAGCCUUUCGCUUUUGUAACUUGGUGAAGCAAGCCUUUUCUGGUCUCAUAGACAUGUUUCUUUAAACUUUAAAGACUGCUGCAGGACUUUUCUGGGAGACAUGAACACACAUGACUUCACACCAGGUUGACACCUCUCACCCUGAUUGUAGUCUUACCAGGAUUUCCUAAUCUGAUCCCCUUAAAGUAAAAGCACUGUGAGACCAGGACCAAGGCACUCACCUCCGUUGGCGUAGCUUUUGAGAGACCCAGAGGCCAUGUGAGGACAUAGUUUUAAGUUCGCCAUGUGCAACACAAGUGAGAAAAUCCUCACCAGGAACCGAAUGGACCAGCACCCAACCUUCAUCUUGGAGAAAUAAAUGCCUGCUUAAACCAGA